UACGUAGGGGGCAAGCGUUGUCCGGAAUCAUUGGGCGUAAAGAGCGUGUAGGCGGCCCGAUAAGUCCGCUGUGAAAGUCCAGGGCUCAACCCUGGAAUGCCAGUGGAAACUGUCGGGCUGGAGUCCGGAAGAGGCGAGUGGAAUUCCUGGUGUCAGCGGUGAAAUGCGCAGAUAUCAGGAGGAACACCGGUGGCGAAGGCGGAUCUCUGGGCCAUUACUGACGCUGAGGAGCGAAAGCGUGGGGAGCGAACAGG
rnacentral:rRNA from 1 species